UUCUCUUCUUUGGUUAGAUUGGCUAGGGA
rnacentral:piRNA from 2 species